rnacentral:rRNA from 1 species
UGCUCACUGUUUAUAUAAAGAGCCGCAGUAUAUUAACUGUGCUAAGGUAGCAUAAUAAUUUGUUUUUUAAUUAAAAACUAGAAUGAAAGGGUUAACGAAAUAAUAACUGGUUUUUACUUGUUGUUUAAAAUUUUAUUUUUAAGUGAAAAAGCUUAAAUUUAACUAAAAGACGAGAAGACCCUAAGAAUUAUAUUUAAUAAUAGUUAAAUAAUUUAAAAUAAUAUGUAUUAUUAACUAUUAUUUAAAUUUAACUGGGGCGGUUCAUAAGUAAAUUUAUUUAAUAUAAAAUUAUCCUUAUGUUAUUUUAAACUAUAUUUAGAAUGAUUGAAGUCUAUUAUGUAAAUUUAUCGAAAAAUUACCUUAGGGAUAACAGCGUAAUUUAAAUUUAAAGUUCCUAUAAUAAUUUUAGUUUGCGACCUCGAUGUUGGAUUAAGAAAUUUAUUAAAGCAGAUUUUAAUAAUAAGGGUCUGUUCGACCCAUUAUUUCUUACGUGAUCUGAGUUCA